rnacentral:tRNA from 1 species
UCCCAUGUGGCUCAGUUGGAAGAGCAUGGUGUUUGCAACGCCAGGGUUGUGGGAUUGAUUCCCACGGGGGAC